UACGUAGAUGGCAAGCGUUGUCCGGAAUUAUUGGGCGUAAAGCGCGCGCAGGUGGUUCCUUAAGUCUGAUGUGAAAGCCCACGGCUCAACCGUGGAGGGUCAUUGGAAACUGGGGAACUUGAGUGCAGAAGAGGAUAGUGGAAUUCCAAGUGUAGCGGUGAAAUGCGUAGAGAUUUGGAGGAACACCAGUGGCGAAGGCGACUAUCUGGUCUGUAACUGACACUGAGGCGCGAAAGCGUGGGGAGCAAACAGG
rnacentral:rRNA from 1 species